GCAUAGACCCCUCCAGGCCCAGAGCAGCUGCUAAGGGCUUAUAAAAGGGGCCUUUGCCAUGGGAGCUGAGCUGCAGCAGGCGGGCAGGCGCAGCAAGAUGGUAUCACAAACGCAGGUCCUCACGUUCUUGUUGCUCUGGGUCACAGGUGCCUGCGGGGACAUCGUGAUGACCCAGUCUCCAGCUUUCUUGGCUGUGUCUCCAGGACAGAGGGUCACCAUAAACUGCAGGGCCAGUCAGAGUGUUAGCAGCUACAUAGCCUGGUACCAGCAGAAGCCUGGGCAGGCUCCAAAACUGCUCAUCUACUCGGCUUCCACACGUGCAUCUGGGGUCCCCGACCGCUUCAGUGGCAGUGGGUCUGGGACAGAUUUCACUUUCACCAUCAGCAGCGCCCAGGCUGAGGAUUUGGCAAUUUAUUACUGCCAGCAUUAUAACUAUCCUCCCACAGUGCUUCAGCCUCGAACACAAACCCCAGGGUCACGGGCCAGUGCAUCCCUGCUGGGCCAGCUGCUUCCUCCCCACAGCUUUGAACACACACAUCCGUCUAUGAGCCUGAGAGGUCCCACCUCCUGAUUGAUUCCUGGCAGU